CACGUAGGAUGCGAGCGUUGUCCGGAAUUAUUGGGCGUAAAGAGCUCGUAGGCGGUGUGUCGCGUCGGCCGUGAAAACCUGCAGCUUAACUGUGGGCUUGCGGUCGAUACGGGCAUCACUGGAGUUCGGCAGGGGAGACUGGAAUUCCUGGUGUAGCGGUGAAAUGCGCAGAUAUCAGGAGGAACACCGGUGGCGAAGGCGGGUCUCUGGGCCGAUACUGACGCUGAGGAGCGAAAGCGUGGGGAGCAAACAGG
rnacentral:rRNA from 1 species